rnacentral:lncRNA from 1 species
AGUCCAGCCGCAGGGGCCACCCGAACAGUCUCUCCUCCUCACAGAAGCCUGGAGCUGGGCAUCCAAGAAGAAGCAGCCUCAUUUGUUUUCUGGUGUCAUCGUAGGUGGCCACCUAUGGCUUUUGGGAAUGUAAAAAGGGCAGCUCUCUGGCAUGUUCCUGACUGAGGAUCUCAUAACAUUUAACUUGAGGAACUUCCUCCUUUUCCAGCUUUGGGAGUCAAGCUUCUCACCUGGGGCGGGUGGGUUCUGCACCACCCUCCCACCCUCCUUCCUCCGUGUGGACGAUAGAGCCACAUCCAGCACCACGGACAGCUCCCGGGCGACCAAAAAGAAGAAUGUACUUCAUCUGGUUGGGCUGGAUUCCCUCUGAUAAGCCUUCCCAGUUGACUGAAAGAUGAGGCUAGGCUCUAGCAAGUUGAAGUCAAACCAGCUCCUUCAAGAAGCUUUGAGCAGAAUGAAGUGGGGAGGACCCAGCUUCCAGCCCAGGAAGCCCACUGUACCUGGAGCCAUCUGGGAUAAGACUUUGACCCAUGACUCCCAUAUCCACAGCCUGUCCAUCCUAGCCCAUCCCAGUUUAUCCUGUAUCAUUUGAGCUGGGAUUCCCACAUCCUCUGAGUUGGAAGUCCCAUCUCAAGUCUUCAAUAAAGACUCUUGAAUAUUGAAUCACA